rnacentral:rRNA from 1 species
UAACACGUAUCCAACCUUCCGCUGACUCGGGGAUAGCCUUUCGAAAGAAAGAUUAAUACCCGAUAGCAAAGGACUUCCGCAUGGAUAUCCUUUUAAAGGAUUCCGGUCAGCGAUGGGGAUGCGUUCCAUUAGAUAGUUGGCGGGGUAACGGCCCACCAAGUCAACGAUGGAUAGGGGUUCUGAGAGGAAGGUCCCCCACAUUGGAACUGAGACACGGUCCAAACUCCUACGGGAGGCAGCAGUGAGGAAUAUUGGUCAAUGGGCGAGAGCCUGAACCAGCCAAGUAGCGUGAAGGAAGACUGCCCUAUGGGUUGUAAACUUCUUUUAUACGGGAAUAAAGUCAUCCACGUGUGGAUGUUUGUAUGUACCGUAUGAAUAAGGAUCGGCUAACUCCGUGCCAGCAGCCGCGGUAAUACGGAGGAUCCGAGCGUUAUCCGGAUUUAUUGGGUUUAAAGGGAGCGUAGGCGGGCUUUUAAGUCAGUUGUGAAAGUUUGCGGCUCAACCGUAAAAUUGCAGUUGAUACUGGAAGCCUUGAGUACAGUAUAGGCAGGCGGAAUUCGUGGUGUAGCGGUGAAAUGCUUAGAUAUCACGAAGAACUCCGAUUGCGAAGGCAGCUUGCUGGACUGUAACUGACGCUGAUGCUCGAAAGUGUGGGUAUCAAACAGGAUUAGAUACCCUGGUAGUCCACACAGUAAACGAUGGACACUCGCUGUUGGCGAUAUACGGUCAGCGGCUUAGCGAAAGCGUUAAGUGUCCCACCUGGGGAGUACGCCGGCAACGGUGAAACUCAAAGGAAUUGACGGGGGCCCGCACAAGCGGAGGAACAUGUGGUUUAAUU